GAAUUAUUGGGCGUAAAGAGCUCGUAGGCGGUCUGUCGCGUCUGCUGUGAAAUCCCGAGGCUCAACCUCGGGCUUGCAGUGGGUACGGGCAGACUAGAGUGCGGUAGGGGAGAAUGGAAUUCCUGGUGUAGCGGUGGAAUGCGCAGAUAUCAGGAGGAACACCGAUGGCGAAGGCGGUUCUCUGGGCCGUAACUGACGCUGAGGAGCGAAAGCGUGGGGAGCGAACAGGAUUAGAUACCCUGGUAGUCAAGGGCG
rnacentral:rRNA from 1 species